UACGUAGGGGGCGAGCGUUGUCCGAAUUUACUGGGCGUAAAGAGCGUGUAGGCGGGUUGUUAAGUGAGCGGUGAAAGGUUCGGGCUCAACCCGAACAGUGCCUUUCAUACUGGCGACCUUGAGUGUGGGAGAGGCGAGUGGAAUUUCUGGUGUAGCGGUGAAAUGCGUAGAUAUCAGAAGGAACACCCAUGGCGAAGGCAGCUCGCUGGCCUACAACUGACGCUGAGACGCGAAAGCGUGGGGAGCAAACAGG
rnacentral:rRNA from 2 species